CUUGUAAUUCCAUUAUCGGUUGGCAUAAAGGACCCAGACAAGGAAAGAAUCUCAAAUCGUCCCUGUAAAAGCACACGGCGUGAAAUGACACAAGAUUGAACUCACCUCAUAUGUUAAAGUACCCCCUGAAGAAGACGGUUGACGAAGUGUAACAUUUGAAAUUGUGCCAGUUGCAGAGAGAAUGCAUAUAGCACGCGAUCCUUGUUGGGAUGACAUGAUUUUCAUAGUAACAUCCUGAGACAGAACAUAGAAAAUCACAAACACAAAUGAACACGUGAACAACCAAAAAUGAAAUUCAAAAACUACAAUCUAUGAUCAAUAAUUUACUUCAAUAAUAAUAUGACAAGAUACACGCCAGUUGGCCACUAGAUCCAUACAACUGUAAAAUAACAUAUGUGCUAUGUCACAUCAUUAUUGCAUAUUGCAAUAAGUUUAUUUCUUCAUCAGUAUAAAAAAGGUAACAAGUUAAUGUUUAUAUUCAUAAUUCAAACAUAUUUGAGUUA